GAGGACCGUAUUCAUGGAAGAGGAUUGAACAGAGAUGAAGUAGACAGUAUGUUGGAUAAAUCUGGAGUAAAGAACCCAGCAAUUGGUAAAGAUGAGAAUAUAUCGCCUCAAGUAAAAGGAGAUGAAGACAUGGGAGAUGAAAUUGACAGUAUGUUGGCUACAUCUGGAGGUCUUUUCUCCUGAGAACACGGGACUCCAGCAUCUUCGGAUUCUGCUCUUGGAGGGGUUUGCCCCACAUCCUCUAUAUUGCAGAAAACAAGACUAGGCUCUACCUCUGUAGAUCAAGCACGACUGAAAUCCGUGCUCUCAAAAGAUGCUGGGGAGAAAGAGUGCCAUUCUUCACAAAUGCUGAUGUGUGCAGCUGAACAGAGCGUUGAGGAAACGUCAGUGAUUUUAUAACUACUUAUCAUGUUGGGAGAUUGUUGUGAUGACUGCCUGGACUCUCAGAUGUUACACAGGCUGCAUCAUUGGACUGAAAGUGAAUGGCCCAUGUGUUGCCACUGAUGUGAGCCAUUUGCCUGUUGUGCUUCA
rnacentral:precursor_RNA from 1 species